AGUCAUGUGGCUGACACAUGUCAAAUCUCUAUGCAUCUGACUGCUGAAAUAUUUCCUACUGAAAUCACAUUAAGACUGCCAUCCAAUAUUCAGCAACUUCAUAGUCAUGGAGAUCCACUGGAUACAAUGAGAGCUACCUCCAAGGAAACAUGCACACUGGAGAAACAAUCUUUCUGUCAGUCAUUGGAUGGCCACUUUGAGGAACGUUGUGUAAUGUCAGUUUGAAAUUACAAGAUUUCUCCCUUCUGAAUCCAUCGUUCUGCUACUGCAUGUCACUGCCUUUCUUCAACCUUCCAGUUCACAUUAUAUUACUCUUGCAUUUUAGUAUUAUAUGGCAUCAAAACUGCUACAAUGUUCUGAAAUAAAAUUCUGUGCAUUCUAAAUCAAGGAGCCUGCAGACACCAGGGAAUGAUUACAAAGUCAUCUUUAAGAUUUUCAAAACCUGAGACAGAUGGAAAGUGAGAUCAUGAGAUGGAUAUUGCCUUCAGUCAGCUAUCCCUUUAGUGCUUUCCACACCUGCUAAUGCUGAAGGUUACCAAGCACCUGUCCCUCAUUCAGCUCAGUCAACUUCUCUUUUUAUGGAAGGCUGCUCUUCUACUUCAUCUUUCACAGAUCAGAAAUGUAGGCCAGUUGAGGUUUACAGCUGUGGGUAUUUGGAGAUGGCCAUAAUAAUUUUAUAUGCAACCUGGAUGUUAAUGUAAAUACAGAUUUCCAGAGAUAAAAUAAGAUUAAUUGACUAAUUCAUUACAUAGAAGAUGAAAUUUGAAGCAUUAUGAAUAAUCUUUUCCAAAAGGAGUUCCAUGACUAGGUGAAGACAAGACUGUAAUACUUUAAAGAUAAUUUGCCAUAAUUAACAUAUAUUUAUAUUUUGUCAAGUGUGCAAUUUAAUUCUGCAUUAGAAAUGUGCAUCCUAGAUUUGGAUCAGACUCUGAUUCAGUAUUUUCAAAAGUUCUAUUUCUGGUGAUACCAGUUUGGUCUCAUUCACUUCACCCAAAGUCCCAAACCUGAGCUGAAUUUUUGGAAGCCCAAGACUAAUAACAACUUAGCCAAAUUUGCAAUUUUUUUCAUUAAUGGUUUGGAAAGAAGUUUUUUGAAAAUCAGUUUUAAUAAAACAAAGGUUGGAGAAAGCAAAAA